rnacentral:tRNA from 1 species
AAAUUAAUUUAAUAACUUAAUUAAAUUUUAACUUUAAUUAAUCCUUC